GGGAGGUAGUGACAAUAAAUCACAAUGCGGAACUUUUAGUUUUGCAAUUGGAUUGAGAACAAUGUACAAAUGUUAUCGAUAAACAAUUGGAGGGCAAGUCUGGUGCCAGCAGCCGCGGUAAUUCCAGCUCCAAUAGCGUAUAUUAACGUUGUUGCAGUUAAAAAGCUCGUAGUUGAAAUGUGGGAUGAAGUAUAUAAUGAAUUUCUAAUUCAAUUCUAUAUUGAUUCCCCUCUCCAAUUUAUUAUUAUGGGUAUUAAUUUAUUUGUAAUAAGAAUUGGUCAUUUACUGUGAGAAAAUUAGAGUGUUCAAAGCAGGCAUUUGCUUGAAUAGAUUAGCAUGGAAUAAUACUAAAAGGCUUUUAUGGUCGAUUUAAUUGGUUUGUUCAUAAAAGCAAGAUUAAAAGGAACAGUUGGGGGUAUUC
rnacentral:rRNA from 3 species